rnacentral:rRNA from 1 species
UACGUAGGGGGCGAGCGUUAUCCGGAAUUACUGGGCGUAAAGCGCACGCAGGCGGUUCGCCAAGUUUGGAGUGACAGUUGUCGGCUCAACCGACAAAGGACUUCAAAAACUGGUGAACUUGAGGACGAGAGAGGAACAUGGAACUCCAGGUGUAGUAGCGAAAUGCGUAGAUAUCUGGAAGAACACCAAUGGCGAAGGCAAUGUUCUGGCUCGUUUCUGACGCUCAGGUGCGAAAGCCAGGGGAGCGAACGGG